rnacentral:pre_miRNA from 1 species
AAAGUACUCCCUCCAUCCAAAAUUCUUGUCUUAGAUUUGUCUAGAUACGGAUGUAUCAAGUCACAUUUUAGUAUUGGAUACAUCUGUAUCUAGACAAAUCUAAGACAAGAAAUUUGGGACAGAGGGAGUAGUUG